CAGGACAGCACUCUGCGAGCCCUACAAGAGGAUGUGAGGGAGGCCAGGGCACAAGGAGGUCCCACACCAGUCAUCUCUGAACAGCUCUCUGAAAAACAUCUGAGGGUCCCAGGAGCUGGCUCGACAGGAGGAGCGAGCUUUGCUGUCGGAGGUUGAAGUGCAGCAGGACCAGAGGAAGCUACAGGCAUGUUUACUAAGGCUUAAGGAGAGGCUUCCCACAACAGCGUGAACCACAGAGCUGCAGAUCUGAUCUGAUUCCGCGAGGAGCUCUGAUUGGUCAAGGAGAAAGCCCAUGAAAGAGGAGGAGGAGGAAAACCUUGGCGGCAAACCUCCUCCAGCGUGUUUCGCCGGCGUGCUCCCAGUGGCCGCAUAUGCAACAGAGUCGCCGCAAGGGCCCUGGAGAGAAAACCCCUGGCCUUACGCAAGCACCCAAGCAGACUCAGGCAACGUUCUCUACACUGGGAAGGAUCACAGCUUUCUAAUCUCAGGGAGCGAUGAUAAUCUCCUGGUGAUGAGCUCUAAUAACCCAUGAGAGACGAACCUGCUAUAGAGGAAGCACAGAGUUGCUGAACGACUUUAGAUGCUUGAUGUUUUAAAAAAAAAAAAAAAAAAAAAGUCACAAAGAAAUAAUUUGUGUAUGUAAGCAGUUUUAUAU